UUACCAGUUUGUUCUCCAUCC
rnacentral:snRNA from 1 species